AUACGUAGGGGGCGAGCGUUGUCCGGAAUGAUUGGGCGUAAAGCGAGCGCAGGCGGUUUCUUAAGUCUGAUGUGAAAGCCCCCGGCUUAACCGGGGAGGGUCAUUGGAAACUGGGAGACUUGAGUGCAGAAGAGGAGAGUGGAAUUCCAUGUGUAGCGGUGAAAUGCGUAGAUAUAUGUAGGAACACCAGUGGCGAAGGGGACUCUCGGGUCUGUAACUGACGCUGAGGCUCGAAAGCGUGGGGAGCAAACAGGAUUAGAUACCCUGGUAGUCCACGCCGUAAACGAUGAGUGCUAAGUGUUGGAGGGUUUCCGCCCUUCAGUGCUGCAGCUAACGCAUUAAGCACUCCGCCUGGGGAGUACGGCCGCAAGGCUGAAACUCAAAUGAAUUGACGGGG
rnacentral:rRNA from 1 species